CAUGCAGUCGAACGGUGAACACGGAGCUUGCUCUGUGGGAUCAGUGGCGAACGGGUGAGUAACACGUGAGCAACCUGCCCCUGACUCUGGGAUAAGCGCUGGAAACGGCGUCUAAUACUGGAUACGAGUAGCGACCGCAUGGUCAGUUACUGGAAAGAUUUAUUGGUUGGGGAUGGGCUCGCGGCCUAUCAGCUUGUUGGUGAGGUAAUGGCUCACCAAGGCGUCGACGGGUAGCCGGCCUGAGAGGGUGACCGGCCACACUGGGACUGAGACACGGCCCAGACUCCUACGGGAGGCAGCAGUGGGGAAUAUUGCACAAUGGGCGCAAGCCUGAUGCAGCAACGCCGCGUGAGGGAUGACGGCCUUCGGGUUGUAAACCUCUUUUAGCAGGGAAGAAGCGAAAGUGACGGUACCUGCAGAAAAAGCGCCGGCUAACUACGUGCCAGCAGCCGCGGUAAUACGUAGGGCGCAAGCGUUAUCCGGAAUUAUUGGGCGUAAAGAGCUCGUAGGCGGUUUGUCGCGUCUGCUGUGAAAUCCGGAGGCUCAACCUCCGGCCUGCAGUGGGUACGGGCAGACUAGAGUGCGGUAGGGGAGAUUGGAAUUCCUGGUGUAGCGGUGGAAUGCGCAGAUAUCAGGAGGAACACCGAUGGCGAAGGCAGAUCUCUGGGCCGUAACUGACGCUGAGGAGCGAAAGGGUGGGGAGCAAACAGGCUUAGAUACCCUGGUAGUCCACCCCGUAAACGUUGGGAACUAGUUGUGGGGUCCAUUCCACGGAUUCCGUGACGCAGCUAACGCAUUAAGUUCCCCGCCUGGGGAGUACGGCCGCAAGGCUAAAACUCAAAGGAAUUGACGGGGACCCGCACAAGCGGCGGAGCAUGCGGAUUAAUUCGAUGCAACGCGAAGAACCUUA
rnacentral:rRNA from 1 species